UACAGAGGGGGCAAGCGUUGUUCGGAAUUACUGGGCGUAAAGGGCGCGUAGGCGGCCUGCUAAGUCGAACGUGAAAUCCCUGGGCUCAACCCAGGAACUGCGUCCGAUACUGGUUGGCUUGAAUCCGGGAGAGGGAUGUGGAAUUCCAGGUGUAGCGGUGAAAUGCGUAGAUAUCGAGAGGAACACCUGCGGCGAAGGCGGGUUGCUGGGCUGAUACUGACGCUGAGGCGCGAAAGCCAGGGGAGCGAACGGG
rnacentral:rRNA from 1 species